rfam:Tuber melanosporum whole genome shotgun sequence assembly, scaffold_2, strain Mel28
GUCAAGAUGGUGGAGUGGUUAACACGUUCGCCUGCUAAACUCUUAGUGGGGUUAGUCAGCGGAUGCCUUCGGGCGCGCAGGUUCGAAUCCUGUUCUUGACG